rnacentral:lncRNA from 1 species
AAUUGACCCGUCAAACUCCCAAAACCUAAACCCAAGACAGAUGCUUUCUCUUCGACUCUCUUUGCACUCAAAAACAACGCUGUCUCUCUGAACUUCAAAAACGAUCUCCGACGACUUCCUUUUCUCUAGCGACUUCCUUCUCUCCGGCGAACGCUUUGUUGGGGAUUUCUCUGGAUCUCGAAGUUUGGCCAUCAGAUAAGGUGAGUGUUUUGCAAGGAAAUGACUUAACAAUCAAUACCUAUCAAACAGCAUUCGCUUUAGCCUUUGUUUCUUGUUUGUGCGUUUGUGCACUUGUGGGUUAUAUUGGCUCUAACUCUGUAGUUAUAUUGGCUUUGUUGACAUUGUCGGUUAAAUAACAAAACAGGAGUGAAAUUUCAUUGGCUUUGACCAUCUAGUUAUAUUGGUUUUGACUCUCUACAGUAAUGACAUUCACAUUUACUUCAAAUCUUGUAUUGCAAAUUUCAUUGAAAAGUAGUGCUCAAAUGAUCUGCUUCAACGCUUCUGAAUACAUGAUUGAAAACAGGAUUGUACAAAUUCACAAUCAUAAUAUUUUUGGUUCACAGAUUUAAUCUUGGCUUUGAGCUGCCCUUAUUCUAAAUCUUGCAAACUCUUGUUUUCCCUCUGUUUCAUAUUAACGGACUUAUUGUUCUCCAAUACAACAAUAAUAACUAAUUUUAUGGUAUUUAAUUUACUGUAGGAUCUCAUUUUGUAAGAAGAUGUCGAUGGAGCAUGAUGAUGUAGAGUCCAAUGAAAUAAGUGUUUCAAGUUCAAAAAGAUAACGUAAUACUACUUCUGUUACAAGUUCUAAAUCUUGCAAACUCUUGUUUUCCCUCUGUUUCAUAUUAACGGACUUAUUGUUCUCCAAUACAACAAUAAUAACUAAUUUUAUGGUAUUUAAUUUACUGUAGGAUCUCAUUUUGUAAGAAGAUGUCGAUGGAGCAUGAUGAUGUAGAGUCCAAUGAAAUAAGUGUUUCAAGUUCAAAAAGAUAACGUAAUACUACUUCUGUUGUUUGGGAUUUCUACGAGAAGUUGCCAUUGGAUACAAAUCCAGAUAAUAGACUUAGAGCUAAAUGUAAGAAAUGCUGGAUAAUAUUUUUGGUUGACUCAAAAGCUAGAACAACAAAUUUAAAGCGGCAUCUAGCUAAGCACAAGAUUGAAGCAUCAAAGCAAGGUACGCCAAUUGAGCAUAAGGAAUAUCGUGAAGUUAUAGUCAAGGCUAUAGUUAGACAUAACUUGCCAUUUAGUUAUAAUAUGAAGGGAUUAGAGAAGUGCAUGCGUUCUUGAAUCAUGCGGUUAAAACCAUUUCAAGAAAUACCGCAAAAGUUGAUGUGCUUAACUUAUAUCAUGGUACAAAAGAGAUGGUAAAAAAUGAGCUUGAAGCUAUUCAAAAUAGAAUUAGUUUGACAUCUGAUUUAUGGUCAUCAAUUACAUCAAAUGAAUAUAUUUUUGUUAUUGCACACUAUGUUGAUUUGGAUUGGGUUUUACAAAAGAGAGUUUUAAUCUUUCGUCAUAUGUCUCCUCCUCAUAGUGGUGCUAAUUUUGGUCCAAAGUUGAUUAAUCUGUUGAAAUAGUGGGGAAUUGAAAAGAAAAUAUUUUCUAUAACUUUAGAUAAUGCAAUUUAUAAUGAUGGUGUUGUGGGUUGCUUGAUUUGCAUUUUAAGCUAAUGGAUUCUUUGCUUUGUAAUGGAGACUUUGUCCAUAUUAGGUGUGCAAAUCAUAUUUUGAAUUUGAUUGUUAAAGCAGGUUUGAAAAUAAUAGAGGGUGCUAUUUUUAACAUUAGAGAAAUAUAAAAUAUAUUAAUGGUUCUGAGUCAUGGAUUGUAAAAUUUGUUGAGUGUAUCAAGAAUCUUGGUUUAAAGAUGACGGGAAAAGUGCGCCAAGAUGUGUCUACAAGGUGGAACUAUACAUAUUUGAUGCUUGUAAGCGCUUUUCCUUAUCGUCGAGUAUUUUCUGACUUCAAGAUACUUGACAAAAAUUUUACAUGUUGCCCUUCAGAUGAGGAUUGGGUUAAAGUUGAAACAAUUGCUAAGUUUUUAAGGUCUUUUUAUGAAAUUACUACACUAUUUUCUGGGAGCCAUUAUCCUACCGCCAAUUUAUAUUUUCAUUAAGUUUGGAAGAUUCAUAUGUUAAUAAAGGAAGAGAUAGGUAGCGAGGAUCCUAAUAUUAAGGCGAUGGCUAUGGAAAUAGAGAAGAAAUUUACAAAAUUUUGGCAAGACGACUACAGUCCAAUUACUUAUAUGGUGAUCGCCCUUGAUCCUCGAUAUAAGUUAAAUUUGAUAAAGUUUUGAGAAGCAAAACUUGAUCCUUGACUUGCAAUGAAAAAGUUAGAUUGUUGAGGAUAAUUUGCAUAGGUUGUUUAAAGAAUACAUGACAAUAUCUGAUGUUUGAAUUGUUGGAUGUAAUAGUCAUGGAUGUUAUGAUGAAAUAAUGGACGAAAUGGAUGAAUUUGACAUGUUUGAAAGUCUGUCCGAGUAUAGUUUAGAAAAGACACAGUUGAAUUUAUACUUGGAAGAGCAUGUAUUAGUUUGCAAAGGAAAUGAAAAUUUAGACGUGCUUACAUUUUGGAAAGAUAAUAGGAGUAAGUGUCCUGAACUCUCUCGUGACCUGUUAAGUAUACAUAUCAGCACAGUUGCAUCUGAGUUGGCCUUUAGUGUUGGUGGUCGAGUUAUUGGCAAAUUCCAAAGUUCUAUUCUACCGGUGAAUGCAUAAGCUAAGUUGUGCUCUAGAGAUUGGAUUUAUGGGCAUCAAGGUACAUUAUAAUUAGUAGCAUGUGUAUUUUAUUUUAUGAACUUUCUUGUAGUUUGACAAUUUUCUAAAUUUUCUUAUUUUUAGCUUGUGAUGAUUCUGAAGAGGAGGACAUUGCAAUAGAUAAGAAGAAAAUUACCUCUACAAUCUUUACUUAGAAUUGUGGAUGUAGAGCAAGGAUGCAGAGACCCGAGCUAAUAUGAAUUUAUAAAUAUGGAUUGUUGAUCUAUAAUAAGAUAUAAGUUUCGAUACUUUCUGAUAUUUUGCUAUAGAAUUUGGAGAUGAAUGGUAUCUCCAGAACUCUCAUUCAUUUGUAAAAAGUUUUUGAUUCUUGGUGAGCCACUGUUCCUUUUUCUCUCGGUAGCUUCUUUUCUUGGUUUUAGUAAAAUUUAUUUUGCUUUGAUUUGAGGUAAUUUGUGAGCUGCGAUGAUAUCUGGGAGAUUCGGCUUAGUGUAUAGACAUAGAAUUUGGUGAUAUCAUGUGCA